rnacentral:lncRNA from 1 species
AUGGGUAAAAUAUCCCAUUUUCAUAACCCUGUUGUUUCUGCCCCCAAACCCCACGCUCCUGCCCUGGGGCUGCACCCCGAGCUUUCAUUUCCCCUACACACCGACCCCUUCCUAAACCACCUCAACCCAGGACUUCCCCCCCACACCCCGCUGGCUCCCCACCAGCCCCCAGCUGCUCGUGGGACCCCCCGCGGGCACAUCCCCGUGUUAAAGCCCUCCUGUCCCCGGUGCCACCAGCAGCCACCGGUGCCACCAGCGUGGCCGUGGCCAGGAGCUGCCCGCAGCCGGUGCCGGGGCCCGCUGCCUGCAGCGCUGCCGUUCCCGGCACGGACGGCAGAGGCCAGGCCAUGGCCGCUGCAGGCGCUGCUGGGAGCGGGGUGGGAGCCGUUCCCCGCAGCAGCAGGGGAUGCUCAGCCUCUGGCAGUGCUCAGCACCCUCGUGGCACCCGCAUCCACCCCACAUGUGUCCCCUGGGUGCCCAGCGCGGUGGCACCGCUGUCCUCGCCGCCCAGCCCACGCUUUCCGUCCCCGUGUUGGGAUGUUGGCGUGGGGGCGAAGCCCUCCCCGAGCCGUUCCCGCUGGCCUCGUGGUGCUGGUGGUGGUGGUGCCACCCCCCUGUGCUGUCCUCAGAGCUGGUCACGGCGUCCUCGCCCCCCCGUCCCCCGCUGCACAAUGGGCUGGCACCGUCACCUGCCCGUGCCGUGCUCGGGGGCUGCCCCAGCUCUGCCCCCUUUGGGAAUUCAGGGAUGUUCCUGGGCACCUCCAGCCCCGGGCAGCUGGGGACCCCCUGCUGCUGCCCCCAGAGGUGCUGGGACCCCCCUGGGUCCUGUCCCUGUCGCAUCCCCCCCCCAGCCCAUGGGCCUGGGGAAAUCCUACUUGUGCCCCCUUCGAGUGCUGUUUCCUCCCUCCCUCGCUCCUCGGCCAGCCUGCAGUGGGGAAGCACUUAGAAAUAAAACAAUCCCUAAUGAAAUUAAAGGUUGGCAAUCAAAGACGGGCUGCUGGGAGCUCCCCUGCUGGGUUUUCACCUUCUUUUAUUGCUUUCCAGGGAAAAAAACUCUGGUAUGCCUCUGGGGCGAUGCAGCCGGGCAGGACAGGGCAGGGGCUGGGAGCUGCCCGCUCCCUUCGCUGCCUCUCACAGACCAUGGGGAUUUUCCUCCCCCUGUGA